UGCAGAGCCUGGUGUCUCUGCCAGGCGCUUUAUAGCCGAUUGAGCCCGGGGGCUGGGGAAUCCCUGGAGCGGGAGGGGAGCGAGCCGUGAGUCAGGGGUGGGCAGGAGUCCAGUGCUGGAGCCAGGGCAGCGCUGGGACUUCCUGCGCUGGGGCUGGGAAAAUCCGUGCCGGGGGGGGAAAGCCCUGCGUGAAUGCACCUGACUUUCCCGAGGGCUGUUUACUCUCGUCCUCGCUGCCGAAAUGGGGAGAGGGAGACGCUGUUUUACAGCCAGGCUCACAGCUCUUCCCUUCACAGCAUCUGCCCACUGCAAAGCCUCAAGAUCCUGUGAGGCCCAUUGGGUAGCUUUGGCCACAUAUCUCCCAGGGAUGUACAGAAGAGGAAGAAGGUUCGGGGAAUGGAUUGUGAUUGCGGCUGGGCUGACGAGGUGGUGACCUCAGGACUACGAAACAAAGCUGACCGGUGGCUUCCAAACAAACAGCAAAUGGGAGAACCUCAGGGCACCACCUCCAUCUAUCAUAAUGCAUAAAACUAAUGAAUAAAAUGACAGUAACAGAAUACAUGCUCUUAUUACAGCCGAGAAAUUGUAACAUUACAGUGCAACAUCCCACCCUUUCCAGUGGGAUAUUCUAAGACCAGUUAGCCCCAGGACAUGAUACACCAUCUGUAUAGAAUCUUAGUUAUUGAGGUGAGACCAGCAAUCCAAAUGGCUCCUGAGUGCUUUAUCAUUGGUAUCGGGGCAAGCUGAAAGGGUUUGUCAGAACUGGAAUAAUCCCACCCAAAGGUAGUUUGUCAACCUCCUGGUAGAGAAAGUAUGUUUGCACUUAGCAGUCGAGCUGACCAGCAUUUUUUUGUCAAAACAGUUUUUUGUUGGAAAAUCCUGUUUCCGUUAAACUGAAUAUUUUGGCCAAAUUGUAUCCAGUUUGACAAAAGUUUCCACGGAAACAAAAUGUCCCCAAAUUAAAAAUGAAGGGCAGCUACUACUUAGUACAGAUGGAAACAUUUUAUCUUACUCUCUCUAGAUCAAAGCGUGUCCUGUUUGUGUUAUUAUAUGAGACAGUUUGACAUAGUCCAGAAGAAUCUGCCAUUGAUUUCCUCUGUGAUUUUGGGCAAGUCACUUUCCCUCUCUGUGCUAUGGUUUCUCCAUCUGUAACAUGGGAAUGCUAAUGCUGGCCAACGUCACAGGAGUGUUGUGAAGCUUACUUAAUUGUUUAGAAGGUCUCUAAGAGCCUCGUAUGAGAGGGUGUUUUAGAAAUACCAAGUUUUAUUAUGAUAAUUGAAGUUUGUCUUGGAUGGCCAUGGACUCCUCAAAUGAAGACCUAGAGACUCAGACAAGAGCAACUACAUCUAAUUAUGAGCAGCAUCCCGUGUGUAAUGGCACAAAUUGCUUCAUAACUCUGGAUAUUUCAAGAUUGCCUAAUUGUGUUCUGGAAUCUAAGCCUUAAAUUUAAGCGUCUUGACCUUAUGAUUGCAAAGAUAAACUUUGAAAUGUGACCUGAGGGUAUGUCUACACAUAAACUGCUACAGCGGCACAAUUGCACCCGGUGCCACUGGAGCGCUUCAGUGAAGACACCACCCAUGCUGGUGGAGGGAUUCUCCCAUUGGCAUAGGUAAUCCAUCUCUCCAAAAGGCAGUAGUUUAGGUUAACGGAGCUGACUGGACUCUGGGUAUGGAUCCUUCCCGGAGGCGAGAAGCACCAGCAGCUGCCCCCCUGCUCCCGGCUGGGAGGGGAAAGGCGAGGAGCCCUGCGGGGGAAGCUGGACUUCCGUUUGGGAGCUGCAUAGAGCUUAAAGCCCUGGCUCUCAGUCCCCCACACUGCUCCUCUUGAGUGGGUGGAACCGCUCCUGGUGAGGGUGCGCACGACCAACAGAAGGAGGGUAGUGUGGACACCAGCCACCCCAAUAAUUAAUGGCGUGGCUGUAAGUCGACCUAACAUAGGUUGAAUUAUCAUUGUAGUAUAGACAUAGCCUAAGCUUUUGAGCUUACACAGAGCUCUUCUUCAGGCCUGGGAAAGGUAUUCAGAGUGUCAAAGCAUAAUACAAGGUGGAACAGCUUAUUUAACAUAAGUAGUUAAUACAUAUUGUGAAGGACCAAUCAAGGUGAAGAGGCCAGUUAACACCUUGUCAGUCAUAGGACAAAAAAGGGGGGUUAGUGCAGUGGUGGGCAACCUGCGGCCCGUGGGCCACAUGCGGCCUGUCAGGGUAAUCCGCUGGUGGGCCGUGAGACAGUUUGUUUACAUUGACCGUCCGCAGGCAAGGCCACCCGCAGCUCCCAGUGGCUGCGGUUCGCCAUUCCCGGCCAAUGGGAGCUGCAGUGGCCAGCACAGAUAUGGCUUUUUCCUGAAAUAUCCUUGAAAGACUUUAUCAGAUUAAGUUUAUGUAUUCUUGUGAGCCAGCAUCUCUAAGGGGAGACAUGUGACAGAUCUUGAAACCCCAGGCAGUAUCUUUGGGGUUUAUAGUUUAUGUAUGAUUGUGUUCUGCUCCAUGGGACUGGAGGGGGAGGGACUACCACAGGUCCUCCUGGAGCUAAAAACAGUUGGGGGUAAUAAAGGCAGAUCAGCCAGGUUGUAACCCUGCAGAGAGAGGUACUCCCUUCUGCGGAGGCUGGCAUAUACUAGUUCAAACUAGAUGCUGCAGAGACAAAGAAAAGACGUUUGGAUAAAUAGUCUGAAUUUAAACGGAUUAAACCAGCAAACCAACAGGACCUUCUAUCUAAGGAGGGCCCCAAUCCCUGCAGAAGGGUUGGAAGGACUUGACCUACUAGGGCCCAAUCAGACUAAUGGGUGAGACGCACUUGUUUAGGAACUUUUAUUGUUUUUACAUGUUUUCUCUGUAAUGCUUUUACCCUAAAAAUAAAUGUG